UUGUACUUGUUAAACUUUUCACGCCUGCGCAUUUGCUCUGUACGAAUACGGUAUAGUAAGUCCGAAACGUCCGGUGGUAAAUAGCUCCAUUUUGUACCUGACUAAGUUACGUACAAAACGACCAAAACCACAAGAAGGGGAUUCCAGCACCCUCAAAGACCUAAAUAGCUUAGCACAUAAAAGGUAUUUCUAGACUAAUUAUUAAGAGUAUUAACGCUAUUAUUUACAAGCAUGCAGUCUCAUAAAAAAAACAAUAGCUCAAUCAAUAAACGGAGAUUAACUUUGAUAAGUUUUCAAGUAUGAACACAAGAGCAGCUCCUAGAUUUACCUCCGUUAGCUUAAGUUAGCCUCAGAGAUAAUUAGCCGCUGAAAUUCGCCGCAAAGCUAGCCCGAGUCGCGCGGCAUAAGGACACCACCAGGCGGCAGAGAUUACAACUCGAGCCCCUAGUCUACCUCGGCCCGACGCUCCUGUAGCGGUCCUCGCUGUAAGUCGACCCUGCCAUUUUCACCUGCUUUGGAGCCGCAGCAGAGCCGAGACCAGCAGGGGUAGGCACAAGGAGGAGGCAGAGAGAAAGGCGGUUGUGUUUACGGUGGUUACCAUGAGAACGACUUCCCAGAAACCUUUGCUGACAUAUUACUGGAGCCUAUCUUGGGAAAGUUACCGUGUCCGUUUUUGUGACCAAUAAAGCUUUGAUCUGAAGAGGAAUUGAUGAUCCAGCUUCAAGCUUACUUUAAAUUAUUUUCUCAAUGCGGUCCUCAAGAGUUUUAUAAAAACUACUGUAUAUCUACCAAGUACCCAUGUUUCCAAAUGUUUCCAAAUAGGACCAUUCUGAGAGUAGUUUUAUAACAGAAACAAACCAUCCCCAUCCAUUCCUCCUUGAUUUUUUUUUUUUUGUGUUUUUUUUUG